GACAUCCCGCUGACCGGCCAUGGAGACAUGGCCUUCCCUUCGGGGACAGCGGUGACAGGUGGUGCAUGGUUGUCGUCAGCUCGUGUCGUGAGAUGUUGGGUUAAGUCCCGCAACGAGCGCAACCCUUGUCCUUAGUUGCCAUCAUUCAGUUGGGCACUCUAAGGAGACUGCCGUAAUAAAACGGAGGAAGGUGGGGAUGACGUCAAAUCAUCAUGCCCCUUAUGACCUGGGCUACACACGUGCUACAAUGGAUGGUACAAAGGGCAGCGAAACCGCGAGGUGGAGCAAAUCCCACAAAACCAUUCUCAGUUCGGAUUGCAGGCUGCAACUCGCCUGCAUGAAGCCGGAAUCGCUAGUAAUCGCGGAUCAGCAUGCCGCGGUGAAUACGUUCCCGGGCCUUGUACACACCGCCCGUCACACCACGAGAGCUUGCAACACCCGAAGUCGGUGAGGUAACUCAUUACGAGAGCCAGCCGCCGAAGGUGGGGCAGGUGAUUGGGGUGAAGUCGUAACAAGGUAGCCGUAUCGGAAGGUGCGGCUGGAUCACCUCCUU
rnacentral:rRNA from 1 species